UACGGAGGGUGCGAGCGUUGUCCGGAAUCACUGGGCGUAAAGCGCGCGUAGGCGGCUGGGUAAGUCGAUUGUGAAAGCCCCGGGCUCAACUUGGGAAUUGCAGUCGAGACUGCUCAGCUAGAGUGUGGGAGAGGGUGGUGGAAUUCCCGGUGUAGCGGUGAAAUGCGUAGAUAUCGGGAGGAAUAUUAGAGGCUACGGCGACCACCGGGAUCUACACUGACGCUGAGGUGCGAAAGCGUGGGUAGCAAACAGG
rnacentral:rRNA from 1 species